UACGAAGGGGGCUAGCGUUGUUCGGAAUUACUGGGCGUAAAGCGCACGUAGGCGGAUAUUUAAGUCAGGGGUGAAAUCCCAGAGCUCAACUCUGGAACUGCCUUUGAUACUGGGUAUCUCGAGUAUGGAAGAGGUGAGUGGAAUUCCAAGUGUAGAGGUGAAAUUCGUAGAUAUUCGGAGGAACACCAGUGGCGAAGGCGGCUCACUGGUCCAUUACUGACGCUGAGGUGCGAAAGCGUGGGGAGCAAACAGG
rnacentral:rRNA from 1 species